CUUGGUCAUUUAGAGGAAGUAAAAGUCGUAACAAGGUUUCCGUAGGUGAACCUGCGGAAGGAUCAUUACCGAGUGAGGGCCCUCUGGGUCCAACCUCCCACCCGUGUUUAUUUACCUUGUUGCUUCGGCGGGCCCGCCUUAACUGGCCGCCGGGGGGCUUCCGCCCCCGGGCCCGCGCCCGCCGAAGACACCCCCGAACUCUGUCUGAAGAUUGCAGUCUGAGUGAAAAUAUAAAUUAUUUAAAACUUUCAACAACGGAUCUCUUGGUUCCGGCAUCGAUGAAGAACGCAGCGAAAUGCGAUACGUAAUGUGAAUUGCAAAUUCAGUGAAUCAUCGAGUCUUUGAACGCACAUUGCGCCCCCUGGUAUUCCGGGGGGCAUGCCUGUCCGAGCGUCAUUUCUGCCCUCAAGCCCGGCUUGUGUGUUGGGCCCCGUCCCCCGAUCCCGGGGGACAGGCCCGAAAGGCAGCGGCGGCACCGCGUCCGGUCCUCGAGCGUAUGGGGCUUUGUCACCCGCUCUGUAGGCCCGGCCGGCGCCUGCCACCAACCCAAAUUUUUUAUCCAGGUUGACCUCGGAUCAGGUAGGGAUACCCGCUGAACUUAAGCAUAUCAAUAAGCGGAGGAA
rnacentral:rRNA from 1 species